GGGUGAUCCUCCAGUGAGAAAGUGCUACCAUGAGUUCUGUAAAUACUGUCAGGACCAUCCUUUGAGUGUUGACAGCUCCUAGCCACGAGGUUAAUACUGAAGAACAAAUGCAAGUGACGAAGAAUCAGCAGAAGACUUUCCAAAUAGUUUAAUGGAGGAACAAUGUAGAGGUGAACAAAGCAUCCUCUGAGGAUGUGAAGA